UGCCCGCUGGCGCUGGGCGCCAUCCCCGCGCGGAGCUGCCCUCGGCGCGCUCCCAAAUUCCAGGGACCUUGUUGCAUUAGCAACUUGUGACGAGGCAAGAGACGUGCCGGGGGGGUUGCGGCAGCGCCUGCCCGGGGUGCGGCUUUACAGCGUGCUGGGGUUGUGCGGCCCCAGGAGGCCAUGAAUUACCCUACCGCCCCCAGCGCCGAGCCUGCCAUUAGUGCCCGGUCCAGAAUCAGCGGCAAGUUGCGGCACAGGGUGUUGUCUGUCCCCUGCCUGGUGAUUUCACUGUGAGUCAGGCUCGCCCCCGCUCUGAACUCCCAGCUCCGCUCACACACUGAUACUAGAACAUAACUGCCGCCUCAUCUUCGCCCAGGUGCACAUCCUCCCUACCUCGAACCGGUUCAUGGCUGUUCGCAGUACAUCGGGGUAAAUGGUGCCGCCAUGGGCCUUCAGGUUUUCUCCUAGAGACCCCACCACCAUGCUGCAGACCACCAAGGAGACCAAGUUAGAGGCCCCUGGCAUGAACAGUGAGGACCAGGAAGAAGAGGAGGAGGAGGAGGAGGAGGGACUUGCAACUGGGGGAUCCAAUAAUGCCACAAGCCAUUGCAGUCCAGUCAGUCCUGGCAGUUGAGUACAGUCAAACCCAAUGCAGAGGAAGGAACCUCGGGUGACCUUCCCUGCAGUGUUAAGGAUCAUCGAGAAUCAAGGUUGUGAAGGAAAGAAGUAGGCUCCCUUGAGGAGGAAGUAAUACAGUAAGCAAUAGGAUACUGUACAUCAUGAGACCAUGUAUGAAAAGAUAGUGUGUUCUUCAUUUGUACAGUAUCUCAUGAACCCCAUUAUGGAAUGCUAAGCAUUGGCCUGACUCAGUGCUGAGUGAGUUUGAAAAUCCCACCAUAGAAGCUAUACAGGCUAUACGUGAACUAGGAAAUAUUAAUUCUGUAAGCUAAUAGCCAAACUUCUACUCACCUGUUUCCACUUUCCAAGGUGGAUUGGACUCCAUGCAUUGAAUAUUUUUCAUAUGCAAUUUUGUAAGCAAAUUUAAUUAUGCCAUUUUUUUUUGUAGUGUGGUUAUAUAUUGUUGUUGUUUUUAAAGCUUCUACACAGUACACUGGAGACACCUACUGGAAAUGUUAAAAUGAAACAUGCAGUUUUUACAAUAUUGUUAUGAGCUGGGUGAAACCUUGUUAUGAUAUGGAUUAAGCCCCACCUAAAACAAAAUGUGUGUUUUAACCCACCCAGGAACUUUUGGGCGGUGUGGGUUGGGUUAGAUUGUUUUGGGUAGGUGUGUGUGGGCGUGGGAGAGAACACACAAAAAGAUCACAGAUAAGAAGGCAGAGGAAGAGAGGCAUGGAAAAGCCAAGCAGGAGCCUUUAAGCAUGGUAUGACCCUGGAGAAAGCUAGAGAGAGAGUUUUUGAGUCUGGUGUUGGUUACAGGGGGACUUGUGGGGAUGGUAAACUGAGAAACUGCUCCUUUUUUUCCUUUGAUCCUUCUGUGGUCAGAGACACAGGACUUUGUACAUUCCU